rfam:Azotobacter vinelandii DJ, complete genome.
GCGGAUGUGGUGGAAUUGGUAGACACACUGGAUUUAGGUUCCAGCGCCGCAAGGCGUAAGAGUUCGAGUCUCUUCAUCCGCA